rnacentral:rRNA from 1 species
GAUGAACGCUGGCGGCGUGCUUAACACAUGCAAGUCGAACGGGAUCCAUCAGGCUUUGCUUGGUGGUGAGAGUGGCGAACGGGUGAGUAAUGCGUGACCGACCUGCCCCAUACACCGGAAUAGCUCCUGGAAACGGGUGGUAAUGCCGGAUGCUCCAGUUGAUCGCAUGGUCUUCUGGGAAAGCUUUCGCGGUAUGGGAUGGGGUCGCGUCCUAUCAGCUUGACGGCGGGGUAACGGCCCACCGUGGCUUCGACGGGUAGCCGGCCUGAGAGGGCAACCGGCCACAUUGGGACUGAGAUACGGCCCAGACUCCUACGGGAGGCAGCAGUGGGGAAUAUUGCACAAUGGGCGCAAGCCUGAUGCAGCGACGCCGCGUGAGGGAUGGAGGCCUUCGGGUUGUAAACCUCUUUUAUCGGGGAGCAAGCGAGAGUGAGUUUACCCGUUGAAUAAGCACCGGCUAACUACGUGCCAGCCGCCGCCGUAA